ACAUUCAAACAAUUCCUUUCUUCCCCUGUGUCAGCCGCUGACAGGGCCAUUGCACAGUGGGGCAGGGAGAGAUUCCGUUUGGCCACAAAGAGACAGCCUGCAGGACAUAAAUUAAGCUUUAGACAUUUACUGCCAGAUCCAGAGAGAGGGAAAAGAGCUGGGAGUCUGCUGCCCACGUGCAGGAGUUGGAAUUCCCUCUGGAAACUCUGAAAGUCCAAGUUGACCCUCGGAAUCAGCAGUUUCGCUUUUGGGUGGAACUCCUCUUACCCCUGGAUGUUCACGGUGGCAUUGAUUCUAAGAGGGCACUACUGAAAAUAACCUGAGUGUCCAUGAAGAGGGGAAUGGUUAAAAUGUGGUGCUGUCAUGCUGUGGAAUACUAUACAAUGUCAACAGGAAUUAACUAGAUGUAUGCAUGUGAACAUAGGUAGAUCUAAGCAUAAUGCUGAGUGCCAAACAAACAGGCUGAAAAAUUAUAUAUUAUCCAGUCCAGCCAGAAGAAGAGCCAAAAGCUCUCAGCACCUCUUGACCAAGAAUGU
rnacentral:sRNA from 1 species